rnacentral:rRNA from 1 species
AUUGAACGCUGGCGGCAUGCUUUACACAUGCAAGUCGAACGGUAACAGGCCUUCGGGUGCUGACGAGUGGCGAACGGGGGAGUAAUGCAUCGGAACGUGCCCAGAGGUGGGGGAUAACGCAGCGAAAGCUGUGCUAAUACCGCAUGUGAUCUGAGGAUGAAAGCGGGGGACCAGGCAGCAAUGUUUGGCCUCGCGCCUUUGGAGCGGCCGAUGUCAGAUUAGGUAGUUGGUGGGGUAAAGGCCUACCAAGCCGACGCUCCGUAGCUGAUCUGAGAGGACGACCGGCCACACUGGGACUGAGACACGGCCCAGACUCCUACGGGAGGCAGCAGUGGGGAAUUUUGGACAAUGGGCGCAAGCCUGAUCCAGCAAUGCCGCGUGCGGGAAGAAGGCCUUCGGGUUGUAAACCGCUUUUGUACGGAACGAAAAGACUCUGGCUAAUACCUGGGGCUGAUGACGGUACCGUAAAAAUAAGCACCGGCUAACUACGUG